rnacentral:rRNA from 1 species
AUUGAACGCUGGCGGCAGGCCUAACACAUGCAAGUCGAGCGGUAACACAGGGAGCUUGCUCCUGGGUGACGAGCGGCGGACGGGUGAGUAAUGUCUGGGAAACUGCCCGAUGGAGGGGGAUAACUACUGGAAACGGUAGCUAAUACCGCAUAACGUCGCAAGACCAAAGAGGGGGACCUUCGGGCCUCUUGCCAUCGGAUGUGCCCAGAUGGGAUUAGCUAGUAGGUGGGGUAACGGCUCACCUAGGCGACGAUCCCUAGCUGGUCUGAGAGGAUGACCAGCCACACUGGAACUGAGACACGGUCCAGACCCCUACGGGAGGCAGCAGUGGGGAAUAUUGCACAAUGGGCGCAAGCCUGAUGCAGCCAUGCCGCGUGUAUGAAGAAGGCCUUCGGGUUGUAAAGUACUUUCAGCGAGGAGGAAGGCGAUAAGGUUAAUAACCUUGUCGAUUGACGUUACUCGCAGAAGAAGCACCGGCUAACUCCGUGCCAGCCGCCGCGGUAA